rnacentral:rRNA from 1 species
UGGGGAAUAUUGGACAAUGGGCGCAAGCCUGAUCCAGCCAUGCCGCGUGUGUGAAGAAGGCCUUUUGGUUGUAAAGCACUUUAAGCGAGGAGGAGGCUACUUGGAUUAAUACUCUAGGAUAGUGGACGUUACUCGCAGAAUCAGCACCGGCUAACUCUGUGCCAGCAGCCGCGGUAAUACAGAGGGUGCGAGCGUUAAUCGGAUUUACUGGGCGUUAAGCGUGCGUAGGCGGCUUCUUAAGUCGGAUGUGAUAUCCCUGAGCUUAACUUAGGAAUUGCAUUCGAUACUGGGAAGCUAGAGUAUGGGAGAGGAUGGUAGAAUUCCCGGUGUAGCGGUGAAAUGCGUCGCGUUCUGGAGGAAUACCGAUGGCUAAGGCAGCCAUCUGGCCUAAUACUGACGCUGAGGUACGAAAGCAUGGGGAGCAAACAGG